AGAACGAACGCUGGCGGCAGGCCUCAAACAUGCAAGUCUAGGGGGCGUAGCAAUACGUCACCGGCGGACGGGUGCGUAACACGUGGGAAUGUACUUACUGGUUCGGAACAACUCAGGGAAACUUGAGCUAAUACCGAAUGUGCCCGAAAGGGGAAAGAUUUAUCGCCAGUAAAUCAGCCCGCGUCCGAUUAGCUAGUUGGCGGGGUAAAGGCCCACCAAGGCGACGAUCGGUAGCUGUUCUGAGAGGAAGAUCAGCCACACUGGGACUGAGACACGGCCCCAGACUCCUACGGGAGGCAGCAGUUGGGAAUCUUGGACAAUGGGGGAAACCCUGAUCCAGCCAUGCCGCGUGAGUGAUGAAGGCCUUCGGGUUGUAAAACUCUUUCGACGGGGACGAUAAUGACGGUACCCGUAGAAGAAGCUCCGGCUAACUUCGUGCCAGCAGCCGC
rnacentral:rRNA from 1 species